GGAGAGAUGGCAGAGUGGUCGAAUGCGCUCGCUUGGAAAGCGGGUAAGGGGGAAACUCCUUCAAGGGUUCGAAUCCCUUUCUCUCCGCCA
rnacentral:tRNA from 5 species